AUUGAACGCUGGCGGCAUGCUUUACACAUGCAAGUCGAACGGUAACAGGCCGCAAGGUGCUGACGAGUGGCGAACGGGUGAGUAAUGCAUCGGAACGUGCCCAGUCGUGGGGGAUAACUACUCGAAAGAGUAGCUAAUACCGCAUACGAUCUAUGGGUGAAAGCGGGGGACCGUAAGGCCUCGCGCGAUUGGAGCGGCCGAUGUCAGAUUAGGUAGUUGGUGGGGUAAAGGCUCACCAAGCCAACGAUCUGUAGCUGGUCUGAGAGGACAACCAGCCACACUGGGACUGAGACACGGCCCAGACUCCUACGGGAGGCAGCAGUGGGGAAUUUUGGACAAUGGGCGCAAGCCUGAUCCAGCAAUGCCGCGUGCAGGAAGAAGGCCUUCGGGUUGUAAACUGCUUUUGUACGGAACGAAACGGCUCUGGUUAAUACCCGGGGCUAAUGACGGUACCGUAAGAAUAAGCACCGGCUAACUACGUG
rnacentral:rRNA from 1 species